rnacentral:lncRNA from 1 species
UGGUGUUUAGUGCUUGUUUAAUCAUCACUCGAGGUAUGUUUUCACCCGAAUGGCACGUGUUCGAGAGAGUAAGAAAGGGAAGACCCAAGAGGAACCUUCUAAAAGGGCUUCAAAGAAGGCAAAGAAACAACUUCUUGUUGUAGAGGAGUCGGACGAGUCGGAUUCGGAAUAUGAUGUUUCGGAUGAGGAAGAAGAAAUAGAAGAAGUAGAAAAGGAAGACGAGAAUAAUGAUGAGGUGGAGUUAGUGCUUGAUGAGGAUGGGAUACCGGAGUGGGAUGCGUCAAAGAGAUUGUCUAGGUAUCCUAUUGAACAUAGAGCGGGUAUGUAUCGUAAGAAGAUAGAACGAAGUAAACAACCUAGGAAAGAACUAUUUUUGUGUGAGAAGUUUAUAGUUUUGAAGGACUUUCAUGCAUUUGGUAUAGAAGAGUGUUUCAAAAAGUUAGGUUGGCUUGACUUCCUACAGUUUACUGGGGGCGACGAGAUUUAUAUGGAUGAAAUUAUAGAGUGGAUGUCUAGUUUAGAAAAGGAUGAGGGAGAUAAUCCACCGGUUACUACUCGGUUGAUUGGAAAGGUUAAUGGGGUGGACGUGGUGUUGUCAUUUGAUGAGAUGAAGAGGAUAAGUAAGUAUGAUAUUAAGGCUACGUUGAAGGGGCCAUAUACAUAUCCUAAAGAGGCGGAGUUGGCAGAUGAGACAAAGACG